rnacentral:rRNA from 1 species
UACGUAGGCAGCAAGCGUUGUUCGGAAUUACUGGGCGUAAAGAGUGUGUAGGCGGUGCUCUAAGUUUGGUGUGAAAUCUCCCGGCUCAACUGGGAGGGUGCAUCGAAAACUGGAAUGCUAGAGGGUGGGAGAGGUAAGCGGAAUUCCUGGUGUAGCGGUGAAAUGCGUAGAUAUCAGGAGGAACACCUGUGGUGUAGACAGCUUACUGGACCACUUCUGACGCUGAGACACGAAAGCGUGGGUAGCAAACAGG